rnacentral:rRNA from 1 species
UACGUAGGGUGCGAGCGUUAAUCGGAAUUACUGGGCGUAAAGCGUGCGCAGGCGGUUUUGUAAGUCAGAUGUGAAAUCCCCGGGCUUAACCUGGGAACUGCGUUUGAAACUACAAGGCUAGAGUGUGGCAGAGGGGGGUGGAAUUCCACGUGUAGCAGUGAAAUGCGUAGAGAUGUGGAGGAACACCGAUGGCGAAGGCAGCCCCCUGGGUUAACACUGACGCUCAGGCACGAAAGCGCGGGGAGCGAACAGG